rnacentral:lncRNA from 1 species
GGUUUGAAUUCAAUCACUUAAGGUGGGGUUUACUUUUAUCUGUAAGCGUAGUUGUUACAUGGUUAUAAUCAUUGUUGUGUUGUGCGUCAUUCAUAUGAACUAAUGGGACCCACAAGGGGUCGGAUCCACAAGGGAUCAAAGAGCUGAACGGCCCACAAGGGGUCAGGUCCACAAGGGACCGAGACUAGUCUCACAAGAUGUCAGCUAAGUGAAAAAUUAUAAGAGUUCAACAUGUUAUGAUUCAUUACACAAUUGGUUAUAACUGCUUGCAGUGUUUACCCCACUGAGUGUGCUUGCACACUCAUACCCUAUUAUUUAUGAUUCUUUUCAGGUUAAGGAGUUGACGGCAAGACGGCAGACAUGAGCUCCACAUUCUCCCGUUCUAUUAUAUGAUGAAGUAUUAUAUGUUGCUGUUUUUGGUAAAUAUAUCUUGCUACUAACCAACUUAGCCUCUUCCAAUUUUGGUGGGUCGAGACUUUAUAUAUAUUGGUUUAUGAUCAUGCAUUUUGAUGACGGCUGUGACCGA